AUUGAACGCUGGCGGCAGGCCUAACACAUGCAAGUCGAACGGUAACAGGAAGCAGCUUGCUGCUUUGCUGACGAGUGGCGGACGGGUGAGUAAUGUCUGGGAAACUGCCUGAUGGAGGGGGAUAACUACUGGAAACGGUAGCUAAUACCGCAUAACGUCGCAAGACCAAAGAGGGGGACCUUAGGGCCUCUUGCCAUCGGAUGUGCCCAGAUGGGAUUAGCUAGUAGGUGGGGUAACGGCUCACCUAGGCGACGAUCCCUAGCUGGUCUGAGAGGAUGACCAGCCACACUGGAACUGAGACACGGUCCAGACUCCUACGGGAGGCAGCAGUGGGGAACAUUGCACAAUGGGCGCAAGCCUGAUGCAGCCAUGCCGCGUGUAUGAAGAAGGCCUUCGGGUUGUAAAGUACUUUCAGCGGGGAGGAAGGGAGUAAAGUUAAUACCUUUGCUCAUUGACGUUACCCGCAGAAGAAGCACCGGCUAACUCCGUG
rnacentral:rRNA from 1 species